rnacentral:lncRNA from 11 species
UGAGGGUUGAGGGGAGUGGGAACAAAUGAUUAUCCCCCACUAUCAUCUAAAGACAAUGUAGCUUACAUUUCUCCAUCUUGCUCCAAAGCAGCAAAUAUCAGAAGUCAAAAUCUAUUAGGUAUUUUCUAGAUUUACGAGAAAAUUCAAAAGGAAGAGAAAUGCAUAACAGCAAGAGAAACAAGAUUUGUCUCUUUGCUCAGACUCAACUGUAUGGAGAAGAAAAGGAAAACCUCUGCUCUCCAAGGAGUGGAGAAUGAAAUAUAAACAUAAACCAAAUCACCGCAUCAAUAUCAUUCUAACUACAGCGGCAGAGUUCUGUCAUAAUGGAUAUGACUGAUACUGCCCACUCAAGCCUACCUUCAAAGCUUGGCAAGCCCUAGCUGAAGUAUUUCUGGGGUGCUGGAGAUUGUCACACCGGGGAAUGAUAUCCACAGUUCUCCUAAGCAAAGGGUCCCUUGAGAACAGCCAGCUGGAGAGGCCCUUUGGGUCUUGCAACUACUUGCCCCAAGACAACUCAUGACCAAGAGCACUUUGCAAAUGUCAUUUCUCAGUGCUUUUAGUGUUCUGCAGUGCCUUAGAUACGGUGUUGGCGG